GCCCGGGUGGCUCAGUCGGUUAAGCGUCCGACUUCAGCUCGGGUCGUGAUCUCAUGGUUUGUGAGUUCGAGCCCCACGUCGGGCU
rfam:Felis catus isolate Cinnamon breed Abyssinian chromosome A3, whole genome shotgun sequence.